UCCCUCUUAGCUCAGUGGUAGAGCGCGUCACUAGUACACAUAUUCAAUUUAUUCGAUGACGAGCUCAGUCGUUCAAGUCGGCUAGAGGGAA